AUGCAUGCGAUGUGGGACAACAUCGGCAAUACCUUGCCGGUGAUGGUCAACGGCCGGCAGAUGGGCAGCAAAAAGGUUCUGGUGCUGCACACCAACAAGAACUUCGACCAGCAGAGGACCAACUGGAUGAUGCACCAGUACCACCUCGGGGACCUGGAGCAAGAGAAGGAGCGGGAGCUGGUCCUCUGCAAGAUUUUCUACCAGACGAACACUAGGGCUAGGACUAAGAAGAUUAUAAGUCAAGCAAGUUUCAAUUGGGUUGUAGACUGCCCAGCCUUGGUUUUGUUUUUAACAGGCCCAGCCCAUGACGACAAUGGGGCAUAA
rnacentral:rRNA from 1 species